rnacentral:tRNA from 1 species
UGCGGGAUGGUGUAAAGGUAGCACGUUCGCCUCUGGAGCGAAAAAUUGGGGUUCGAAUCCCUGUCCCGCAG